GAUCAUGGCUCAGGAUGAACGCUAGCGGCAGGCUUAACACAUGCAAGUCGAGGGGCAGCGGGAUGUAGCAAUACAUUGCCGGCGACCGGCGGAUGGGUGCGUAACGCGUAUGCAACCUACCUUAUACAGGGGAAUAACCUUUCGAAAGGGAGACUAACACCCCAUAGUAUUGAUUUAAGGCAUCUUAGAUUAAUUAAAUAUUUAUAGGUAUAAGAUGGGCAUGCGUAUGAUUAGCUAGUUGGUAAGGUAACGGCUUACCAAGGCGACGAUCAUUAGGGGUUCUGAGAGGAAGGUCCCCCACACUGGUACUGAGACACGGACCAGACUCCUACGGGAGGCAGCAGUGAGGAAUAUUGGUCAAUGGGCGCAAGCCUGAACCAGCCAUGCCGCGUGCCAGGAAGACGGCCUUAUGGGUUGUAAACUGUCUUUUACAUAAGACUAACCGUAUAUUUGCGAAUAUACCUGAAUGUAUUAUGAGAAUAAGGAUCGGCUAACUCCGUGCCAGCCGCCGC
rnacentral:rRNA from 1 species